rnacentral:sRNA from 1 species
AUUUGGUCAGUUGGGUGCAUCAUGGGAGAAAUGAUCAAAGGUGGUGUUUUGUUCCCAGGUACAGAUCAUAUUGAUCAGUGGAAUAAAGUUAUUGAACAGCUUGGAACACCAUGUCCUGAAUUCAUGAAGAAACUGCAACCAACAGUAAGGACUUACGUUGAAAACAGACCUAAAUAUGCUGGAUAUAGCUUUGAGAAACUCUUCCCUGAUGUCCUUUUCCCAGCUGACUCAGAACACAACAAACUUAAAGCCAGUCAGGCAAGGGAUUUGUUAUCCAAAAUGCUGGUAAUAGAUGCAUCUAAAAGGAUCUCUGUAGAUGAAGCUCUCCAACACCCGUACAUCAAUGUCUGGUAUGAUCCUUCUGAAGCAGAAGCUCCACCACCAAAGAUCCCUGACAAGCAGUUAGAUGAAAGGGAACACACAAUAGAAGAGUGGAAAGAAUUGAUAUAUAAGGAAGUUAUGGACUUGGAGGAGAGAACCAAGAAUGGAGUUAUACGGGGGCAGCCCUCUCCUUUAGCACAGGUGCAGCAGUGAUCA